GAUGAACGCUGGCGGCGUGCCUAAUACAUGCAAGUCGAGCGAACAGACGAGGAGCUUGCUCCUUUGACGUUAGCGGCGGACGGGUGAGUAACACGUGGGUAACCUACCUAUAAGACUGGGAUAACUUCGGGAAACCGGAGCUAAUACCGGAUAAUAUUUCGAACCGCAUGGUUCGAUAGUGAAAGAUGGCCCUGCUAUCACUUAUAGAUGGACCUGCGCCGUAUUAGCUAGUUGGUAAGGUAACAGCUUACCAAGGCAACGAUACGUAGCCGACCUGAGAGGGUGAUCGGCCACACUGGAACUGAGACACGGUCCAGACUCCUACGGGAGGCAGCAGUAGGGAAUCUUCCGCAAUGGGCGAAAGCCUGACGGAGCAACGCCGCGUGAGUGAUGAAGGUCUUCGGAUCGUAAAACUCUGUUAUUAGGGAAGAACAAACGUGUAAGUAACUGUGCACGUCUUGACGGUACCUAAUCAGAAAGCCACGGCUAACUACGUGCCAGCAGCCGCGGUAAUACGUAGGUGGCAAGCGUUAUCCGGAAUUAUUGGGCGUAAAGCGCGCGUAGGCGGUUUUUUAAGUCUGAUGUGAAAGCCCACGGCUCAACCGUGGAGGGUCAUUGGAAACUGGAAAACUUGAGUGCAGAAGAGGAAAGUGGAAUUCCAUGUGUAGCGGUGAAAUGCGCAGAGAUAUGGAGGAACACCAGUGGCGAAGGCGACUUUCUGGUCUGUAACUGACGCUGAUGUGCGAAAGCGUGGGGAUCAAACAGGAUUAGAUACCCUGGUAGUCCACGCCGUAAACGAUGAGUGCUAAGUGUUAGGGGGUUUCCGCCCCUUAGUGCUGCAGCUAACGCAUUAAGCACUCCGCCUGGGGAGUACGACCGCAAGGUUGAAACUCAAAGGAAUUGACGGGGACCCGCACAAGCGGUGGAGCAUGUGGUUUAAUUCGAAGCAACGCGAAGAACCUUACCAAAUCUUGACAUCCUUUGACCCUUCUAGAGAUAGAAGUUUCCCCUUCGGGGGACAAAGUGACAGGUGGUGCAUGGUUGUCGUCAGCUCGUGUCGUGAGAUGUUGGGUUAAGUCCCGCAACGAGCGCAACCCUUAAGCUUAGUUGCCAUCAUUAAGUUGGGCACUCUAAGUUGACUGCCGGUGACAAACCGGAGGAAGGUGGGGAUGACGUCAAAUCAUCAUGCCCCUUAUGAUUUGGGCUACACACGUGCUACAAUGGACAAUACAAAGGGCAGCGAAACCGCGAGGUCAAGCAAAUCCCAUAAAGUUGUUCUCAGUUCGGAUUGUAGUCUGCAACUCGACUACAUGAAGCUGGAAUCGCUAGUAAUCGUAGAUCAGCAUGCUACGGUGAAUACGUUCCCGGGUCU
rnacentral:rRNA from 1 species